rnacentral:rRNA from 1 species
AGCAGCCGCGGUAAUUCCAGCUCCAAUAGCGUAUAUUAAAGUUGUUGCAGUUAAAAAGCUCGUAGUUGAAUUUCGGGAUCAAUAUAUCGGUCGUGCCUUUGGUACGUACUGGUAUCAUUGAUUUCUCCUUUCUGACGAAUCAUGAUGUCAUUAAUUUGGUGUUAUGAGGAGUUAGGACUGUUACUUUGAAAAAAUUAGAGUGUUUAAAGCAGGCAUUAGCUUGAAUACAUUAGCAUGGAAUGAUGAAAUAGGACGUUUGACCCUAUUUUGUUGGUUUUUAGGAUCGACGUAAUGAUUAAUAGGGAUAGUUGGGGGCAUUAGUAUUCAAUUGUCAGAGGUGAAAUUCUUGGAUUUAUUGAAGACUAACUACUGCGAAAGCAUUUGCCAAGGAUGUUUCAUUAAUCAAGAACGAAAGUUAGGGGAUCGAAGACGAUCAGAUACCGUCGUAGCCUUAACCAUAAACUAUGCCGACUAGGGAUCGGAUGAUGUUAA